UUUUUUUUGAGAAAUUUUCAAAAAUUCCUGUAAAAGAAUUUUUUUUUUCGAAAAAAUCAUAACAUUUUGUAAUGCGGUUCAGCUUCAAAACUAAUGCGACUUUGGAAAAAGUUAUAUAAAAAUAUCGUAAAUUAAUCGAACUCAAGCAUAACCGACGCCAAUAUUGGAGAAUAUGUCAUUUUUUCCCUACAACAGCCACAAUUUGGAUGUGAUAACAGUUUUCCACUUACCAUUCGAAGAGGUCGAGAAGAGGAAGCUAUGCGUCAAGUCACUCCAACCAUAACGAUUCCUGCAAACACAAAUAUAAUUAAAAUGAAAUUUAGUCAUUGCUCAGCUAUUUGUGUUACGGUUGCUUGAUUCUUAAAGUAUGUUACAAUAUAUCUCAAGGUGAAAACAAACAAAACGAGAAUCUGCAAUUAAUUAGAGAAUGAAAAUGUCACCUCGAAAAUUAUUAAGGACAAGUGAUUAUUUGCGACAAGCGCAGCAAUUGCAACAGUGCGGCAGUGUGCAGCAUGUGCAAUAUCGAGUAUGUGGCAUAUGUAGCAUGUGACAAGUGGCAAGUGGCAUGUGUUGACCGAGAGCAAAAUACCUGUGCGGUCCAAGUAUUUGCAUAUAAUUUGUUCGAGGGCUUGCAUUUCAUUCUGUCGUAAUUAGUUUUUGCUUUUAUUUGCCUAUAUUGUUGUUGUUGUUGUUGUUGUUGAACAAGUGUACACUUGCAGCGCAUGCGAGUAUCACAAUAACACGAGUUAAACAAUUCAUGAAUUAAAUAUAAAUUAGCAUUGGAAAACAAAUAAAAUGAAAUUGGAAGUAUUGCCUUGUGCCUGGAGGCCCUUCAUGUUUAUUUAAGGUCUUAAUUCACUGCUUACUCGCAUAUAUAAGUAGGCUUGUCAUAUAUUUGUGUUAAAAUGUAAUUUAUAAUUAUUUGCUUGGCAUGUGAUUAGCUGUCAGUGGGUCAUGGCGAAAUUGUGAAUUUUAGAGCUUAAAUUUGAUUUUAGAAUUAAGAGCUGAGUAAUA